rnacentral:rRNA from 1 species
AGAUUAAGUUAUUAAGGGCGCACGGUGGAUGCCUUGGCACUAGAAGCCGAUGAAGGACGUUACUAACGACGAUAUGCUUUGGGGAGCUGUAAGUAAGCUUUGAUCCAGAGAUUUCCGAAUGGGGAAACCCAGCAUGAGUUAUGUCAUGUUAUCGAUAUGUGAAUACAUAGCAUAUCAGAAGGCACACCCGGAGAACUGAAACAUCUUAGUACCCGGAGGAAGAGAAAGAAAAUUCGAUUCCCUUAGUAGCGGCGAGCGAAACGGGAAGAGCCCAAACCAACAAGCUUGCUUGUUGGGGUUGUAGGACACUCUAUACGGAGUUACAAAGGACGACAUUAGACGAAUCAUCUGGAAAGAUGAAUCAAAGAAGGUAAUAAUCCUGUAGUCGAAAAUGUUGUCUCUCUUGAGUGGAUCCUGAGUACGACGGAGCACGUGAAAUUCCGUCGGAAUCUGGGAGGACCAUCUCCUAAGGCUAAAUACUCUCUAGUGACCGAUAGUGAACCAGUACCGUGAGGGAAAGGUGAAAAGCACCCCGGAAGGGGAGUGAAAUAGAACCUGAAACCGUGUGCUUACAAGUAGUCAGAGCCCGUUAAUGGGUGAUGGCGUGCCUUUUGUAGAAUGAACCGGCGAGUUACGAUUUGAUGCAAGGUUAAGCAGUAAAUGUGGAGCCGUAGCGAAAGCGAGUCUGAAUAGGGCGUUUAGUAUUUGGUCGUAGACCCGAAACCAGGUGAUCUACCCUUGGUCAGGUUGAAGUUCAGGUAACACUGAAUGGAGGACCGAACCGACUUACGUUGAAAAGUGAGCGGAUGAACUGAGGGUAGCGGAGAAAUUCCAAUCGAACCUGGAGAUAGCUGGUUCUCUCCGAAAUAGCUUUAGGGCUAGCCUCAAGUGAUGAUUAUUGGAGGUAGAGCACUGUUUGGACGAGGGGCCCCUCUCGGGUUACCGAAUUCAGACAAACUCCGAAUGCCAAUUAAUUUAACUUGGGAGUCAGAACAUGGGUGAUAAGGUCCGUGUUCGAAAGGGAAACAGCCCAGACCACCAGCUAAGGUCCCAAAAUAUAUGUUAAGUGGAAAAGGAUGUGGCGUUGCCCAGACAACUAGGAUGUUGGCUUAGAAGCAGCCAUCAUUUAAAGAGUGCGUAAUAGCUCACUAGUCGAGUGACACUGCGCCGAAAAUGUACCGGGGCUAAACAUAUUACCGAAGCUGUGGAUUGUCCUUUGGACAAUGGUAGGAGAGCGUUCUAAGGGCGUUGAAGCAUGAUCGUAAGGACAUGUGGAGCGCUUAGAAGUGAGAAUGCCGGUGUGAGUAGCGAAAGACGGGUGAGAAUCCCGUCCACCGAUUGACUAAGGUUUCCAGAGGAAGGCUCGUCCGCUCUGGGUUAGUCGGGUCCUAAGCUGAGGCCGACAGGCGUAGGCGAUGGAUAACAGGUUGAUAUUCCUGUACCACCUAUAAUCGUUUUAAUCGAUGGGGGGACGCAGUAGGAUAGGCGAAGCGUGCGAUUGGAUUGCACGUCUAAGCAGUAAGGCUGAGUAUUAGGCAAAUCCGGUACUCGUUAAGGCUGAGCUGUGAUGGGGAGAAGACAUUGUGUCUUCGAGUCGUUGAUUUCACACUGCCGAGAAAAGCCUCUAGAUAGAAAAUAGGUGCCCGUACCGCAAACCGACACAGGUAGUCAAGAUGAGAAUUCUAAGGUGAGCGAGCGAACUCUCGUUAAGGAACUCGGCAAAAUGACCCCGUAACUUCGGGAGAAGGGGUGCUCUUUAGGGUUAACGCCCAGAAGAGCCGCAGUGAAUAGGCCCAAGCGACUGUUUAUCAAAAACACAGGUCUCUGCUAAACCGUAAGGUGAUGUAUAGGGGCUGACGCCUGCCCGGUGCUGGAAGGUUAAGAGGAGUGGUUAGCUUCUGCGAAGCUACGAAUCGAAGCCCCAGUAAACGGCGGCCGUAACUAUAACGGUCCUAAGGUAGCGAAAUUCCUUGUCGGGUAAGUUCCGACCCGCACGAAAGGCGUAACGAUUUGGGCACUGUCUCAACGAGAGACUCGGUGAAAUCAUAGUACCUGUGAAGAUGCAGGUUACCCGCGACAGGACGGAAAGACCCCGUGGAGCUUUACUGUAGCCUGAUAUUGAAAUUCGGCACAGCUUGUACAGGAUAGGUAGGAGCCUUUGAAACGUGAGCGCUAGCUUACGUGGAGGCGCUGGUGGGAUACUACCCUAGCUGUGUUGGCUUUCUAACCCGCACCACUUAUCGUGGUGGGAGACAGUGUCAGGCGGGCAGUUUGACUGGGGCGGUCGCCUCCUAAAAGGUAACGGAGGCGCUCAAAGGUUCCCUCAGAAUGGUUGGAAAUCAUUCAUAGAGUGUAAAGGCAUAAGGGAGCUUGACUGCGAGACCUACAAGUCGAGCAGGGUCGAAAGACGGACUUAGUGAUCCGGUGGUUCCGCAUGGAAGGGCCAUCGCUCAACGGAUAAAAGCUACCCCGGGGAUAACAGGCUUAUCUCCCCCAAGAGUUCACAUCGACGGGGAGGUUUGGCACCUCGAUGUCGGCUCAUCGCAUCCUGGGGCUGUAGUCGGUCCCAAGGGUUGGGCUGUUCGCCCAUUAAAGCGGUACGCGAGCUGGGUUCAGAACGUCGUGAGACAGUUCGGUCCCUAUCCGUCGUGGGCGUAGGAAAUUUGAGAGGAGCUGUCCUUAGUACGAGAGGACCGGGAUGGACAUACCUCUGGUGUACCAGUUGUCGUGCCAACGGCAUAGCUGGGUAGCUAUGUGUGGACGGGAUAAGUGCUGAAAGCAUCUAAGCAUGAAGCCCCCCUCAAGAUGAGAUUUCCCAACUUCGGUUAUAAGAUCCCUCAAAGAUGAUGAGGUUAAUAGGUUCGAGGUGGAAGCAUGGUGACAUGUG